UGUCCCAGACUCGACAGUCUCGCCUGCGUUUGUGAUGUUCUUUCUAUCUUGAGUCUCACCAUCUUGGCGGGUGUGAAGCGUUACUUUGUUUGUGACUCUCUUUUCCCCAGCGACCAAGGAGGCUGAGCAUCUGUCUGGGGUGCUGGUUGGUUAUCUAUACAUCUCCAUUGCAGAAGCCUCUAUUCUGAUCCUAUGCCAGCAAUUGACUCGAGACACUAUUCUCUCUGGAGCUGUCAGAGUUCUGUAGAUGUUGAGGCUAUGAGCUCUACAACAGAUCCGUGAUCUGCAAGUGUUUGCUCCCUUUCUCCCUGACUUCCUUGGCACCCAGCCAUGCUGGCAUUUCCCUGUGCCGCCAGCCACCAAGUUCCAGAUGCUACCAUGAUGUCAACCUGACUUCCCUGGGCAGACGACCCCACCAAUGUGUCCUGGAACCCCACCUCUCCAGAACCCCGCCCCACUAGGGAAAGAGAGAGAAAGUCUGGGAGUAUGGAUCCACCUGCCAAUGCCCAUGUUCAGCAGAGAAGCAAUUACAGAAGCCAGACCUUCCAUCUUCUGUGCCCCAUAAUGACCCUGGGUCCAUGCUCCCAGAGGGUUAAAGAAUAGGAAAGCUUUCAUGGGAGGGGAUGGUAUAUGGUGUUCUGGUGGUGGUAAUUGUGUGGAUUUGUAGCCCUCUUACCCUAUGGUCUUGUCAAUAUUUCCAUUGUAUAAACAAAUAAAUAAAAUAAAUAAAUAAAUAAGAAAAAAAAUAAGACAGGAUUGACACUCAGAGGCGUUAAUCUGGCUUAAUACCUCAGAUAUGGCUAGGGAAAGGGACCUGCACAUUAUAAGAUCACUUUGG